GUGUACUUAGUUGAAUGGUUAGAGCAUCACUCAUGAAUGCUGAGGUCGUGGGUUCGAUUCCCACAGUACACA
rfam:Puccinia sorghi strain RO10H11247 Scaffold_2313, whole genome shotgun sequence.